UCACUGUAACGUUUCCCCAUUUAACAAAACAUUUAUUUAUGUCCACAGUCAUAUCAACUAGCAAAUAAAACAUCCAAACACUGUAAUGAACCUCCAAACACAGCAGAUCAAAUGUAAAUAUUAGAAGUAGUUAUAUUUUAUUAUUGGUCACAUCGGUGGUAUAAUACAGACAGCUGGAGCCAGGGGGUCAGAGGUCAGGGCUCUGCCCUGCUGGGUCAGGAGAGGAGGGGCUUAGUGGUACUUCCUCCAGCGGUCGUGCUCUGAGAGGAGAAGAAGAGAGGGAGAGAGAGAGAGAGAGGAGAAGGAGAGAGGGAGAAUGGAGAAGUGGGGACAGAGAGCGAGAGGGGACAGAGGUUAACGUCAGAUCGUCCUUCCCAGUGUCUGUACUCACUGAGGUGGUCGUACUCCCACAGUGUCUGUACUCCCACAGGGUUAGGGUUAGUACUCACUGAGGUGGUCGUACUCCCACAGUGCAGUGUCUGUACUCCCACAGUGUCUGUACUCCCACAGGGUUAGGGUUAGUACUCACUGAGGUGGUCGUACUCCCACAGUAUCUGUACUUACUGAGGUGGUCGUACUCCCCCAGUAUCUGUACUUACUGAGAUGGUCGUACUCCCACAGUGUCUGUACUCCCACAGGGUUAGGGUUAGUACUCACUGAGGUGGUCGUACUCCCACAGUGCAGUGUCUGUACUCCCACAGUGUCUGUACUCCCACAGGGUUAGGGUUAGUACUCACUGAGGUGGUCGUACUCCCCCAGUGUCUGUACUUACUGAGGUGGUCGUACUCCCCCAGUGUCUGUACUUACUGAGAUGGUCGUACUCCCACAGUGUCUGUACUUACUGAGAUGGUCGUACUCCCACAGUGUCUGUACUUACUGAGAUGGUCGUACUCCCACAGUAUCUGUACUUACUGAGAUGGUCGUACUCCCACAGUAUCUGUACUCCCACAGUGUCUGUACUCCCACAGUGUCUGUACUUACUGAGGUGGUCGUACUCCCCCAGGGUUAGUACUCACUGAGGUGGUCGUACUCCCCCAGGGUUAGGGUUAGUACUCACUGAGGUGGUCGUACUCCCACCAGGGUUAGGGUUAGUACUCACUGAGGUGGUCGUACUCCCCCAGGGUUAGGGUUAGUACUCACUGAGGUGGUCGUACUCCCCCAGGGUUAGGGUUAGUACUCACUGAGGUGGUCGUACUCCCACAGGGUUAGGGUUAGUACUCCCCCAGGGUUAGGGUUAGUACUCACGGAGGUGGUCGUACUCCCCCAGGGUUAGUACUCACUGAGGUGGUCGUACUCCCACCAGGGUUAGUACUCACGGAGGUGGUCGUACUCCCCCAGGGUUAGUACUCACUGAGGUGGUCGUACUCCCACCAGGGUUAGUACUCACUGAGGUGGUCGUACUCCCACCAGGGUUAGUACUCACUGAGGUGGUCGUACUCCCACCAGGGUUAGUACUCACUGAGGUGGUCGUACUCCCACCAGGGUUAGUACUCACUGAGGUGGUCGUACUCCCACCAGGGUUAGUACUCACUGAGG
rnacentral:lncRNA from 1 species